GAAAGCUAUUAGCAAACACUAAGACAGCAUGAGGGGCCCAUGAUUCUGCCUGGGGACCAGCAGGUGCUUUGAGCCGUGGUUAUCUGGUGAGAAGUGAGAGGAAGGAG